rnacentral:rRNA from 1 species
GUGCCCACCAUCCGCGGUAAUACGUUAUGUCCCGUAGCGUUAUCCGGAAUUUAUUGGGCGUAAAGCGAGCUCCAACCGUUUGGUUUAAAGUCUGAAUGUUGAAGCCCCGGGAUCUCAACUCCGAGAAAUGGCAUUGGAAACUGGUUAACUUGAGUGCAGUAGAGGUAAGUGGAACUCCAUGUGUAGCGGUGGAAUGCGUAGAUAUAUGGAAGAACACCAGCGGCGAAGGCGGCUUACUGGACUGUAACUGACGUUGAGGCUCGAAAGUGUGGGUAGCAAACAGGAUUAGAUACCCUGGUAGUCC